rnacentral:lncRNA from 1 species
AUGUACUACAAUAUCAACUAUCAAACAGAUUCGAGAAUUCAAAAGAUGAAUAGAGGAUGAACUGUAGUCUCUUCGUCCGCAGCUAAACAUAGUUAGCAAUAUGAAGAUCAUGAAUACUCUGAGCAUACUAAUAAUUUAUGCAUCUCAAGGUUGCAUGCUUGAUGAACUGUAGUCUCUUCAUCCACAGCUAAACAUGGUUAACAGUAUGGGGACCGUGAAUAAUCUGAGUAUACUAAUAGUUUGUGCAUAUUAAGGUCGCAUGCUUGAUGACACUAUCCCUUGUUCUCACCAAAGAUUUUCAUGCUUUAAACCUCUUCUCAUGAAGUCCACCUUGACCAAGAAAUGUAUCGCCUUUUGUGGAACGGAAAACAUUAACUCAGAUUUUAAUAAAUUUCUUAAGAUUUAUGAAUUUCAUGGAUUUAAUGGAUUUGAACAGAAUUCCACAUAAUUCAUAAGAUUUUAUCAGAAUUCUAUACUAUAGAUUUUUACAGAUUCUCAUGGAUUUGAAAUAUUAAAACCAACUUUUUUUCAGUACAAUGUAACUUAUUAAAUCAAAAUGAAUAUGAUGAGUUUUUAUGGAUUCUAAUUAUUUUAUUAUUAUUUGGUGUCCAAAAUAGAAUUUUUGUAGGGUUUGUAUAAAGGAGAUGCAUUGAGUGCAUAGUUAUGGUGAAAACAAGAGAGUGUUGUGUGGAUUAAAAUGAGGAAAGAGUUUGUAUCUUGAAAUGCUUUACAUUAUAAAUUUAUUACUAGUUCACAAAUAAAAAUCUAAUGAUUUUAUUUUAAUGAGUUCGUAAAACAUGUAUUUGUUGUCCUUUUACUUUGAUCACUCUGUGCGCACAAACACGCAAAUUGAAUAUGAAUUUACAAAAAAAUAAAAUAAAAUCAACUAUGGGCUCAAAACCAACUAAAAAAUCUAUGAAAUCUGAGGUGUCAGGCUAGAAUUCCUAAAAAUUUGGUAUUUAUAUAUGCACUCCAAAAUCCACUAAAAUCUAUUAAAAUCCUUCCAAUUAAUGAAAACCUCAGAAAAUCCACUAGUUAUUGGGGAAAUCUAGACUUCUAAAGAAUCUAGAACCCAAGUUGGAGACACUCAGAUUUUAAUGAUAGUUGAGGCCACUGAGAAUUAUAUGGAUUUUCAAAAUCCAUUAAAGUCCAAGUUCGGGACACCCCCUAAAUAACAAAGAGUGAUUUAGAUUUUUACCAGAAACACAACAAAAAGGCAACAGAGAAUUGACAGAAAUGCAGGGUAAACAAGGGAAAGGGUAACGAGUUAUAUACAACUUAACAUACAGGUUCUGGUCCUUUAG